rnacentral:misc_RNA from 1 species
GGCGGUUGUGCUGUGUACACUUUGACCUUUCGGAUGGGUUCCCUCUACUGCAUUCGCCCUGCUUUCUUUGAAGAAAGAAGGAGAGGGGAAAUAACAGAACGGCACGAUUUGUGCCAAGGACGGCUGCUGCUGGAGUGCAUCGCCUUAUUUUGGUUGUACAGUGUGCUACUCUACAAGCGUGAGCGUAUGAAUGACUCUCGGCAAUGGAUAUCUUGGCUCUCGUGUCGAUGAAGAACGUAGCGAAAUGCGACACUUGGUGUGAAUUGCAGAAUCCCGUGAACCAUCGAGUCUUUGAAUGCAAGUUGCGCUCGAAACCUUUAGGUCGAGAGCACGUCUGCUUGGGCGUCAUGCUUUGCGUCAUUCUAAACAUCAACCUACCUUAAAUAAAAGUGUGGGUAACGGUGGAUGUGGAGAUUGGCCUUCCGUGCUCUUGAUGUGCGGUUGGUUUAAGAGACCGUCGUCGUUAGGAUUGCACGCGGCGAAUGUUGAUCGAGUUCAUGCACGAAGUCUCCAACUGCGUACAUGAGUCCUAACCAUGAUGUAUAAUAAUUGAAACCAUUAUCGAUGUUUGCACUAUUCGCAAGCACGAACC